rnacentral:ncRNA from 1 species
AUCUAGUCCGACUUUGUGAAAUGACUUGAGAGGCGUAGAAUAAGUGGGAGCUUCGGCGCAAGUGAAAUACCACUACUUUUAAUGUUAUUUUACUUACUCCGUGAGGUGGAGACGGGGCCUGGCCCCUUCUUCUUGUCCCAAGGCCGGCUCAUGCCGGCCAAUCUAGGUGGAUGACAUUGUCAGGUGGGGAGUUUGGCUAGGGCAGCACAUCUGUUAAAAAAUAACGCAAGUGUCCUAAAAUGAGCUUAACGAGAACAGAAAUCUCGUGUGGAACAAAAGGGGGUGCACUCUUGUUCAUGGGCCCUUUCCCUCUAUAUUUGAACCCCUAUGGAUCGUCUCUCAAGUCAUUCUCUUUGGUUGCUUACAAUCCACCACGCUUCCCUACAAGUCAAUCAAAAUGUCAGA